CAGCAUUUUCACAAGGACUGGAGGAAUCAUUACAUUUCAUUACUUUAGAGUAACACCACAUAUUAUUUUAUGUUUCUAGCUGAUGUUCAGGUUAAACUCCUGCUCUGUGGGUGUGCUAAGGCACUGUUUUGUCUCUUAUCGUACCAAUUUCCAUAGCAGUUUCAAGUUUUUGAAUAACACGAAAGGAAGUUACAAGGAAUCUAGUAAUCAUGUCUUUGAUUUGGGGUGGGCAUGGGGUCAAGACCAAGCAAACACAGCACCAAGCUCUCAAUUAACCCCUGGCCUUGAUUUCCUGGAUGAGCUUUGGUUUUAGGUAGAAGCCAUAGAAGAUAUUUGCACACCUGAACCAAUUUCAGCUCUACUUCUCUUUGACACACUGAAGUCUGCAGCUCCGAGCCGUGGCACGUGAUGGCCCAGUUGCAAGUCUAUGUGAAAGCAGUUGAGUUCAAUGCAAUUCUGUUUACUAUUUCUUUUUCCUGCCAUGAGAGAAACUCAUCUGUUUGCUUCCUGCCUUUACCAUAUGGUGCUGCAUCUUGCAAAGACGACGUAUAGAAACUAUUUGAUGUUUUUUUCAGGAAGGAUGUUUAAUCAUUCAACAGCCCCAGGCGAAUUUUACUCUCUUUUAAUUGAUGUUUAAAAACACAUACACUGCGGUCGUGCUUUUUUGUUGUUUUUCUGUUCCUGAAGCAGCAGUGAGUUUGCCUGCAAGUAACUGAGAGAUGUGGGUGGUAGGUUUUGGCAACAGGAUAGCUUUCACUUUUGCACUUCAUUUUGCUGAGAAUAAAAUGCAACAAGAAUUUUCACAUUUGUUUCAGUACCGUAUUUCAGAGAAGGUUUGGAAGUGAGGGUGCUGAAAUGUCUGUGGGUUUUUUUUUCUUUCCAGAAAGAAACUGCUGAGAAAUAACCUGCUCUGCAGAUGCCAACAGAGGGCACCUACGUCACAUUUAUUUUUCUUGGCAAACUCCCUUAUUUCUGAGCAAAUUUCCUUUUUCCUAUUAAAAGUUCGUAAGGUUUUCUGCUGACAGACGAACUCAAUGAACCUUUGUAAUUGUCUUGACUAGGUUUUGGUUUCUUCUCCUUCAAAACAAACAGGAGGAGGUGUUCACAUCUAUUAUACUGUCUGUCUCCUACACUCCCUAUUAUUGUACCAGAGUGUGUCACAGUUGUUUAAAAUGCUCUUAACCUCUUUUGUUCUGUUUCAGGAAGAACAUAGAGAAUAAAGUCAAGAUCCAGCAUAUCAUGUCAUCCAUGGGGAUUUCACGUCGAAUUUGAGCACCUGAGCCUCCUCCCUGCAUCUGGUGCGUGGAUUUUGACUACACAAGGCAUAUCUUCAACCUUUCAAAAGUCUCUUUUGUGCCCCUUCUUUGUCAACUGCUCCGCUCUUCUUCUGAACUAACUGCACUGAGUUUACCUGGUUGGUGAGAUGAACAGUCAGAUCAUCAGAUGUGGCAUCGUAAUUGCUACAGGUCAGCCGGACGUAGCCCUGGGCAAAAAACAACACAUAUGGUGCUGUGCAGGCGAUGAGGAGGUGCAGACGGAGCCCAGAGGAGCAGCCAGAAGUGCUGGGAAUGGACUAGAGGCAUAGCGCUGAGUCUUUGGAGUGGAAGAAGGGAGCUGAAAACCAAUGGGUGCAAUUCUGAAAAACCAACAUGAGGUCUGUGCACUAUCCCACACCAGGGCGGGUCCCCAGGAACCCCAAAAUUUGAGAGGCACCAACGAUCCUUGUGAAAGGGAAAUCCAAAGACCUUACAGAGCACAGUUAUCACAAGGAAACUGUAUUGUUUUCAACACUGAGAGAGCUUCAGUCCUCUCCCUGCUCACAAGAUCUUUCCAGGUGUGGAUUUUUACAAUAUUACAAUAAUGCAACACAAGCGUGUGUUAAAAAACACACCGAGUUCUCAAGAAAGAUCUCUGCAGCAGCCAAACACAUUACUACAGCUUCUUCAGCACAAAGCGUUGGCAGUGAAUACCUUUGCAAAGCCAAGACAAG